UCGCAUGAUAUUGAUUUGAAAGGUGCAAUUGCAUCACUAAGAGAUGGACCUGCGUUGUAUUAGCUAGUUGGUGAGGUAACGGCUCACCAAGGCGACGAUACAUAGCCGACCUGAGAGGGUGAUCGGCCACACUGGGACUGAGACACGGCCCAGACUCCUACGGGAGGCAGCAGUAGGGAAUCUUCGGCAAUGGGGGCAACCCUGACCGAGCAACGCCGCGUGAGUGAAGAAGGUUUUCGGAUCGUAAAGCUCUGUUGUAAGAGAAGAACGAGUGUGAGAGUGGAAAGUUCACACUGUGACGGUAACUUACCAGAAAGGGACGGCUAACUACGUGCCAGCAGCCGCGGUAAUACGUAGGUCCCGAGCGUUAUCCGGAUUUAUUGGGCGUAAAGCGAGCGCAGGCGGUUAGAUAAGUCUGAAGUUAAAGGCUGUGGCUUAACCAUAGUACGCUUUGGAAACUGUUUAACUUGAGUGCAGAAGGGGAGAGUGGAUUCCAUGUGUAGCGGUGAAAUGCGUAGAUAUAUGGAGGA
rnacentral:rRNA from 1 species